AUACACGACGGUAUGUACAUACAUACAUAAAUGAAUAUGUAUGUAUUGUGUAUCUGUGGGUUCGUUGAAGUGGAACCGCUAAGUGGUUGUGAUGAAUGCAAGAACUGAAUGCAUAAAUAAUGCCGAUUUAGAUUAUUCUGAAACAGAAACAUCAUCGUCGAAUUGUGGUCUGCAUUCAGAUAUUCGCAUUCGCAUUUGGAUUUGGAUUUGGAUUUGGAUUUGGAUUUGGGCAAAACCGUCAGGGAACAGAACGCAGACGAUGACGAUUCCCCAUAAUCAGGGGAAUUAAUAUGGAAAUAUAUGCAGCGCUGAACAAAACCGCAAAAGUAAACGGAGAGCACCAAACUCAACCCACGAAAACCAAACGCAUGUUUGUAAGUUCUGUUAUAAGUAAGGGAAAACGUGGCAAGCUUAAGUGGGCAAAAGGGGUGUUUGUGCUGCACAGUGGGAAAAUAUAAACACAAAGAGAUGUUUUUGUUUUUAUUUUAAUUUAAAAUUAGCUCUUUUAUUUUAUUUUUAUUCACGCUACCUGUAGUGCAAAAGGGUAAGCUGGAUUCCUUAAAAAGUAUUUAUCAGGAAAACGGACGGAAAAAAAGGACACAGGGACGGAGUUACGGGCGGACAAACGGACGGACUAAUGAACAGACAAACGGACAUACGAAUGGAAUGCAGAAGGAUACAAUGACAGACAGUCGCCGAUCCUGAUUAGGAAAUUACAUCUGAUCAGUACUUCUGAACAAAUCUUGAAACUUUAUAUUUUAGAAGAAACGGAUGACGUAAUCUAGUUGUAUUUUGACUGUAUCAGAGAAUACUUUCAGUUUCUCUAUAUGGAUUAAUUUGUACACUACCAAUAUAUGGCAAUUAUACAUUUAAUUUACAUCUGUGAAAAAGCAAUUGAAACAAGAGUUUCAUUUAAUUUUGCGUCGGCCGGCACAGGCAGGCCAAUCCGCCCAGCGCCCAUUUCUCAGUGUCUUGGCGGGUCUUACGUUGAUGUUUUAUAGCGCAUUAAUUUCGAAAGUAGCGCUACGUGUGCCAAAAAUCAUUAGCAACGGAAUUACGCUCAAUGAAAUGCAGUCGGCGUCGCCGGCAAACAAAAGCCCUCCGAGGGAGAUAAUACAGCGCGGCCAGGCCAGGCCAGACCAGAGCAGACCAUGCCGUCCUCCGUCGAUUACGAUGGCGAUAUCGUUGCCGGAACAGGGAACCCAGAACGGUCUGGGGGUGGGUUAUGGAAUGGUAGCUGCCGGGGAAAACGGCAGUGGAAGUCGCUUAUAAAUUUACCCUAACGACAAGUUAAAUGCUAAACACGAAAUGCUUCAAGCCGAAGGGUUCUCAUUCCAAAAACCUCGGAUACAUUUGAAUACAAGUCGCUGAUUCUGCUGUCAAGAUGAAGGCUUCAUACGUGAAUUUGAAAGUAUAUGUGAACUGAUUAAAUCCGUAAAUCCAUAGGCACAGUAAAAUCUUUAACGGAAUAUAUAUCUUUUUCAACCAAUCCUUUUUAUACUGGCAAUAAGCAGUCCUUCAUUAA
ensembl:ncRNA lncRNA:CR43424 long non-coding RNA:CR43424